GAUGAACGCUGGCGGCGUGCCUAAUACAUGCAAGUCGAGCGAACGGACGAGAAGCUUGCUUUUCUGAUGUUAGCGGCGGACGGGUGAGUAACACGUGGAUAACCUACCUAUAAGACUGGGAUAACUUCGGGAAACCGGAGCUAAUACCGGAUAAUAUUUUGAACCGCAUGGUUCAAAAGUGAAAGACGGUCUUGCUGUCACUUAUAGAUGGAUCCGCGCUGCAUUAGCUAGUUGGUAAGGUAACGGCUUACCAAGGCAACGAUGCGUAGCCGACCUGAGAGGGUGAUCAGCCACACUGGAACUGAGACACGGUCCAGACUCCUACGGGAGGCAGCAGUAGGGAAUCUUCCGCAAUGGGCGAAAGCCUGACGGAGCAACGCCGCGUGAGUGAUGAAGGUCUUCGGAUCGUAAAACUCUGUUAUUAGGGAAGAACAUAUGUGUAAGUAACUGUGCACAUCUUGACGGUACCUAAUCAGAAAGCCACGGCUAACUACGUG
rnacentral:rRNA from 1 species